ensembl:lncRNA PLCE1-AS2 PLCE1 antisense RNA 2
GGGGCAAGCCAUGGGACUGGAAGGCAGCAGGCAGAUGUCAGGGUUGGGGAUUACUGGCUCAGAAGCAGGUAUCAUAGCAGAAGCCCAAGUCUCUUCCAAGUCACAGGGCUAGGAACCAAGAUAUCAGCAGGGGAAGCAGGGGGUGGAGGGGGUAUAAAAAUGACCCAACUACAACCACCAAUACUACCAUUUACUGAGGCUUCGCCAUGCAGCAGGCACCCUGAAAAGUGUUUUGUUUGCAUUAUCUUAGUCAGUCCUCCUAGCAGCCUGAUUAGUAGAAGUUGUUACAGAAACACAGAUGAAACCAUGGGUUAGAAAGAGGUUGAGUGCUAGAGAAUCUUAUGGCUGCAAAAUGAGUAAGCAGAGACUUCAACCACUGUCUUCUGACUCACAGCCCAAGGGAAAGACCAGGCAAGAGUAGGGGUGAAGGUCAUGGGAUACAUGAACUUCAGGCUUAAUCUCUGUGUGAGAAAAACAGCAUGAAGAUAAUCAACUCUAUGUCAGAAGAAAUUGGCAACACUACUAACCACGAGUAAUGCACACCGAAGGGUUGUGAAGAGGACGUUACUAUUUGUACACUGUUUUGAGCAGUGCCUGCUGUACAGUAAGGACCAUAUAUGUGUUUAUAAAAUAAAUCUUAGUUGCUAUAGGCAACACCACGCA